rnacentral:rRNA from 1 species
UACGUAGGGUGCAAGCGUUAAUCGGAAUUACUGGGCGUAAAGCGUGCGCAGGCGGUUUUGUAAGGCUGACGUGAAAUCCCCGGGCUUAACCUGGGAAUUGCGUUGGAGACUGCAAGGCUGGAGUCUGGCAGAGGGGGGUAGAAUUCCACGUGUAGCAGUGAAAUGCGUAGAGAUGUGGAGGAACACCGAUGGCGAAGGCAGCCCCCUGGGUCAAGACUGACGCUCAUGCACGAAAGCGUGGGGAGCAAACAGG